CGGGGUGGAGUAACGCGUGGAUAACCUGCCUCACACUGGGGGAUAACAGUUAGAAAUGACUGCUAAUACCGCAUAAGCGCACAGUACCGCAUGGUACAGUGUGGAAAACUCCGGUGGUGUGAGAUGGAUCCGCGUCUGAUUAGCCAGUUGGCGGGGUAACGGCCCACCAAAGCGACGAUCAGUAGCCGACCUGAGAGGGUGACCGGCCACAUUGGGACUGAGACACGGCCCAA
rnacentral:rRNA from 1 species